UAAUACAGAGGGUGCGAGCGUUAAUCGGAAUUACUGGGCGUAAAGGGCGUGUAGGCGGUGAUAUGAGUGUGAUGUGAAAGCCCUGGGCUUAACCUAGGAAGUGCAUUGCAAACGAUAUUGCUGGAGUAUAUGAGAGGGUGGCGGAAUUUCCGGUGUAGCGGUGAAAUGCGUAGAGAUCGGAAGGAACGUCGAUGGCGAAGGCAGCCACCUGGCAUAAUACUGACGCUGAGGCGCGAAAGCGUGGGUAGCGAACAGGAUUAGAUACCCUGGUAGUCCACGCUGUAAACGAUGAGUACUAAAUGUUGGUAGGGGAACCUAUCAGUAUUGAAGUUAACACGAUAAGUACUCCGCCUGGGAAGUACGGCCGCAAGGUUG
rnacentral:rRNA from 1 species